GGUCUUUUACCAGAUUCUGACCCCGGAAAACCUUCACCUGCCUGCUCACUGUUCUUAGGAGGGUCAAAGGAUGCACAAACCUCAUGUGCUAUAACUUCCACUGAUUCUUUCCGAGAAAUAACUUCAUUUGGCUGCUUCUUGUUACUGAGAGGCUCAAUGGAUGCACUUGUCUCUUCUGCUGUCACUACUGAUUGCUCCCUUUCUGUU
rnacentral:misc_RNA from 1 species